CCUACGGGGGGCAGCGGUGGGGAAUAUUGGACAAUGGGGGGAACCCUGAUCCAGCCAUGCCGCGUGUGUGAAGAAGGCCCUCGGGUUGUAAAGCACUUUCAGUGAGGAAGAACGCCUGGUGGUUAAUACCCAUCAGGAAAGACAUCACUCACAGAAGAAGCACCGGCUAACUCCGUGCCAGCAGCCGCGGUAAUACGGAGGGUGCGAGCGUUAAUCGGAAUUACUGGGCGUAAAGCGCGCGUAGGUGGCUUGAUAAGCCGGUUGUGAAAGCCCCGGGCUCAACCUGGGAACGGCAUCCGGAACUGUCAAGCUAGAGUGCAGGAGAGGAAGGUAGAAUUCCCGGUGUAGCGGUGAAAUGCGUAGAGAUCGGGAGGAAUACCAGUGGCGAAGGCGGCCUUCUGGACUGACACUGACACUGAGGUGCGAAAGCGUGGGUAGCAAACAGGAUUAGAUACCCGAGUAGUC
rnacentral:rRNA from 1 species